AAAAAAUACUUCGAAAAAAAAAGGAAAGCUAUCAUUCAAGAUACGUAGAUACAUUUUUAAAUCUUUUUCUUCACAUUUUAAAUAAGCGACAAUUUCGAAGUGUUCAUAAUAAUUUGAUCCUCCACUCUAAAUCCACUCUAGCCAGAAAAUUACAGCGAGCCAAAUGAAACAGGUAGAAAUGAAACCACAGAUGGCCGUCAUAAAUCGUUUAAAGAACGUCGAGUCAGCGUUUUCCAAUUGUGAUCAAAUCCUUAAUUUAAAGAAACUCUCUUUUUUUUUUUUUUUUUUUUUUUUGAAUUUAUUUUAAAAACUUCUCCUUGGUAGGCUCGAAUCGAAAUAUCGCUGGUAAUAAUUCCCUCUCGCUAGUCGUGUCCGCCAUUUUAGAGAUGAAAGGAAGGGACAGCUGCUUAUAAAUAUUCGUAUCGUAUCGCUGCGUGCUAGUUGCGUAACCGCGUCGGUGUGAAAAAGGAUAAAAAGAAGAAGAAAAAAAAAAAAUAAGAGAAAGAAAUCACGAGUCUACUCUGGUUGCUGCAAUCUCGGGAUCGUGGUCUUGUUUUCGUUCGCGUAUUAAAUUCUGCGCUACGAUGGGAUACAGAGAUAUUUAUUAGAUAGAUUGUUGAGUAAGUCAUAGAAGGAAACUGGCAUGAAGAAAUGUUUUCCAAGAGGCAGGCUGACAGGUUUUUAUCUUUAAUAAAAGUGUUGAUUAUUUUAUAAAGUUUCAUCAACAAUUGUUCGUUCAUAAUUUAAAGUAUCAAUGGAUUAAUUGUUCUUAGAUAUGAAAAGUAUGGAUUACAUCUUUUCAAAAGAAGAGAUAAAACGAGAGUGAUAAUGAUUUUGUUGUUCAAUUAAUUUGAGAUCGUAGGUUUUUUUAAACAGGAUGAAAAAGAAAAUUAAUAAUAAUUAAAGAUAUCUAAAAAGGUAUGAAUAUAAAACGAAAAUAAAAUGUUUAAUUAUUCGAAGAAAAGAGAGGGGAGAUAAAAUAAAUACAAAUAAGAGUAGAAUAUUGAUGGUAGAAAUAUGGAAAACGAAAUUUAAUUAUGAAAGGUAAAGAAUGAAUGUAGAUGACGUGAUUAAGAAACACAAAAUGAGAAUGAAUGAAUGAUGCUAAUAAGGAAAAGAAUAAAGAUUGAUAUUAUAAAACGAUAUUGUGGAAGAAAGAUUGAUUGAAUAAGAUUUAAUGGUAUAUAUGAGAAUAAGAUGUCAGAGAUGGAAGAAUAUUACGAAUUGUAUCGUUGAGAAAUAAAAUAAAUAAAUAAAUAAAUAUCAGAUAACAGAUAACGAAAUAUGAAUACGUGAAAAAGCAUACAUAAAGAAAAUAAAAACGUAAAGAAAGUAUGAGAAAUUGAAAAACAAAAACUAUGGCGUAGAAAAAAAAAAGAAUACUCAAGCUGAAAAAAAUAUAAAAUUUAAUACAAAAUGAAGAUGAAAUUCAUUCUUAAAAAAACUAGAAACAAAAAACUGGGAAUCAACAAAUUCUCUUGCCCAAAAAUAUCUAUUAUUGAAGAUCUUUAAUUAAAAAUAAAAAAAA